rnacentral:lncRNA from 1 species
UAUUUUAGGACUUCUUUUUUAUCUGCCUAGCAAAUAGCAUUGUCUUAAGAUUUCCUAUGUCCAAGUUUAAUAUUCAGUAUUUAUUUUAAGUGAUAAUCACCACUGUGCUAUAUAGCAUAUUAUGGCUACUUCUAGUUUCCUGCAAAAUUUUUUUGUUUUCCCUGGAGUUAAUAAUUUUGGCCUAAAAUUUACAGCUCUAAGAAUUCAUUGCUGCCGUUGCUGCUAACAUAUUACAAGGGGUGCCUAAUUCCAGUAACUUGUUACAGGACAUCCUUAGAUCUUCAUGUUCUGUAAUCAGCAGGUAAAGGUGUGAGCACUAUGAUACUUUCUUUGGUUUUAUUACUCUCUGAGCAUGACUAGGGAGCAGAAAACGUCUAGAUAUUUCUCGUGUCUUGAUUAUAGGAAUUUC